GCUGGGGAAGAGCUUGGACCUUUAAAUUAGGGCUAUUUUCAGGGAAUUGUCUAGGUGCCUGAGUUUGCGACUAUUGGCGGGAAGGCUCUGUCAUUCCAAUAGUGAUGGUGGUCGAGCGGUGGAACUCUUACCUACACUGAGAGAGACUCAGGUGGACUCCAAUCAAGUUAUAGAAACAUCUCAAGGAUUAUCAAUGGAAACAGGAUGCACCUGAGCUCAAUUUCAAGUCUCAUAGCAAAGGGAGAAAUACCUGCAGAGGGAAGCCCCCGACCCUGAAGGACAGAGGGAGAGACAGGAGAAAGCCCUGCAGAGGGAAGCCCCCGACCCUGAAGGACAGAGGGAGAGACAGGAGAAAGCCCUGCAGAGGGAAGCACCCCGACCCUGAAGGACAGAGGGAGAGACAGGAGAAAGCCCUGCAGAGGAAGCCCCCAACCCUGAAGGACAGAGGGAGAGACAGGAGAAAGCCCUGCAGAGGGAAGCACCCCGACCCUGAAGGACAGAGGGAGAGACAGGAGAAAGCCCUGCAGAGGGAAGCCGCCCAACCCUGAAGGAUAGAGGGAGAGACAGGAGAAAGCCCUGCAGAGGGAAGCCCCCGACCCUAAAGGACAGAGUGAGAGACAGGAGAAAGCCCUGCAGAGGGAAGCCCCCAACCCUGAAGGACAGAGGGAGAGACAGGAGAAAGCCCUGCAGAGGGAAGCCGCCCAACCCUGAAGGAUAGAGGGAGAUACAGGAGAAAGCCCUGCAGAGGGAAGCCCCCAACCCUAAAGGACAGAGGGAGAGACAGGAGAAAGCCCUGCAGAGGGAAGCCCCGACCCUGAAGGACAGA